rnacentral:rRNA from 1 species
UACGGGGGGGGCAAGCGUUGUUCGGAAUUACUGGGCGUAAAGGGCUCGUAGGUGGCCAACUAAGUCAGAGGUGAAAUCCCUCAGCUUAACUGGGGAACUGCGUCUGAUACUGGAUGGCUUGAGUUUGGGAGAGGGAUGCGGAAUUCCAGGUGUAGCGGUGAAAUGCGUAGAUAUCUGGAGGAACACCGGUGGCGAAGGCGGCAUCCUGGACCAACACUGACACUGAGGAGCGAAAGCCAGGGGAGCAAACGGG